UAUCUCCUACGGGGGGCAGCAGUGGGGAAUAUUGCACAAUGGGCGAAAGCCUGAUGCAGCAACGCCGCGUGAACGAAGAAGGCUCUUGGGUCGUAAAGUUCUGUUCUGAGGGAAGAAGAAAGUGACGGUACCUCAGGAGAAAGCCCCGGCUAACUCCGUGCCAGCAGCCGCGGUAAUACGGAGGAUGCGAGCGUUAUCCGGAUUUAUUGGGUUUAAAGGGUGCGUAGGCGGACUGUUAAGUCAGCGGUAAAAGCCCGGGGCUCAACCCCGGCGAGCCGUUGAAACUGGCUGUCUUGAGAUGUCGG
rnacentral:rRNA from 1 species